rnacentral:sRNA from 1 species
CCCUAGCCCAGAUGGAAGCGGCAUCCUUUUGUGGCGGAGUUCGCCACAAAAGAUAUAGCGCACAGCUGGAAAUAGC